UUAACUUGUCGGAAGAUGGUAGUUUCUGGCCUCUCUUCAUAUUGUACUAAGUGCUUAUACAAACUCAACACACAGUGUGAGCAGCAAUGAGAAAAAAAGAUGUAGGGCUUCAUUAAGACCCAACCAUGCCCCAUCUUCCAUUCAGUGUUGUGUACCCUGAUAUAGAUUACCUGCAAAAGAAUAAAAGGAGAAUAUGAGUACACUAAAGUUUCGGCUGCAAACGCAGCGGUUAACUGUUGCGU
rnacentral:lncRNA from 1 species